GACGAACGUUGGCGGCGUGCCUAAUACAUGCAAGUCAACUGAAAUACCGGUAGCAAUACUGGUAUGGAGGUGGCGCACGGGUGAGUAACACGUAGGUAAUCUGCCUUCAGGUCUGACAUAACCCAUCGAAAGGUGAGCUAAUAUCAGAUGAUGCAGCGGCUUGACAUCAAGACAGUUGUUAAAGCUUCGGCGCCUGAAGAUGAGCCUGCGUCUGAUUAGCUAGUUGGCGGGGUAACGGCCCACCAAGGCUGCGAUCGGUAGCUGGUCUGAGAGGAUGAUCAGUCACACUGGAACUGAGACACGGUCCAGACUCCUACGGGAGCAGCAGUAAGAAUAUUGCUCAUGGCCGAAGGCUGAAGCAGCAACGCCGCGUGAGGGAUGAAGGGUCUUUUGC
rnacentral:rRNA from 1 species